rnacentral:lncRNA from 1 species
AAAGUUUCUCUUUCCUGUCCAUAAUACACAAUCCCUUUGUCAUCAGCCACCCGAAAAAUGAAAGAAAAAGAUUCAGAAAGCAAUUACUUUGUAGAUCUCUUGUCGUAUUAAGAUGAUUACAAGAACAGAAACAUGGAAAAUCGAUUCUAAGUCUUUUCCUAUGUCGCAUAGAAUCUAAACAAAACCAAGUGGAAACUUCCACCAAAUCAUAGCCUGAGUGACCCACCGGACCAGGUCAGAAAGGAUGCUUCCUUGCUCUGGAUUGCAUCUACCGCCACUAUGUUCUCGGUUAUAAAUGCCCAACGCAACGAAGCUUAAGAACACGGCAAAGGAAGAAAGGAGGUGAAGAAGAAGAAGAGGGGGAGAAGGAGAAAUGAGGCCUGGAAGCUCAUCGAGUUCGACCGGAUCCAACAUAUGGCGCACUCCACUUCCUUAUCUCUUUGGAGGGUUAGGAGCCAUGAUGAUCCUUAUAGCAGUAGCUCUUGUGGUGCUUGCGUGCUCCCACCGGAAGUCCGCCGGCGACCGGGACUCGGCGGCGGCGUCGAGCCUGCCUGAGAAGGUCUUGGUUGCUCCUCUGGACAUGGAGCCAAGAUUCGUGGUCAUCAUGGCUGGAGAGAGCACACCUUCCUUCAUAGCGAAGCCGAACUCUCUCUGCCAAGAACCAUGACACUGCAACUUCCUGCUCGUUUUGUUCCCUCUUUCUAUCUUUUCCUUUCCCUUCGCGGCAGAUGUAAACUUGAGUUAGACUCUAAGGUGUGAUAACUCAGAGAGAGUCUCUUUGUCUGUUCUCUGACAAAAGUACUUUGGCAAGGAAUGCCAUGAAGCUUUAUUCUCUGAUCUAAAUUGGCUUCCAGGAAGCUUUAAGCUUUUGCAUGAAGUCUCUUCCUUGCGGAUCAUUACUGGUUUAGAUUACAUGUCUCGCAUCAACUCUCCAACAUACAUAUAUCAAUAGAUAUGACUACUCCUUUAAGGAGUUUGGAUGAAGGUGAUGAUAAAGAUGAAACUUCAAGAAAUGUGAUGGGUGAUGAGAUUGGAAUUACCAUCUUCAGAAUUGCUUGUGGCUAAGACACAUACUUUACCACCAAUCCUAAUUGUUUCUCAAAAUAUUCUUGUUGUCUAAUCUGUAAGAAAAGGCUACAGAUUUAUGCUCAACCUACACAAACCGAAUCAAGUUUUCUCUUUUAUGUUGGUAUCAGAUAUUGAGUCUUUCCAAAGAAAAAGUGUUUUUACUGAGGUGAUCUUGGCCAAGAACAUCAAUCUCCAUUAGAUACAACCAGAAUCUUGUGUGCUUGUCACUUCACAUAUAAGAUUACUUUUGAUUGUUCUAUCCGUACGUAAACCUUACUUUUUUGAUUGUUCUAUCCGUACGUAAACCUUGU